CGCGAAUCAAUGGCGCAACUCGACCUUUCGAUCCUGACUCGUCGGCCUGAGCAGACGGACUCGGAGUCAUCGCUUCGAAAAAUAGAUUUUCGAAUCUAAGUGCAGCUUUCUCGAGUCUGCGAGCCACCGCAUCACCACCAGAAUGAACCAGCCGUCCGAGUUGCCCACCAAGUCGGCUACCCACGACUACACCGUGGAGAAUCUGCAGAAGUUGGCUGAAGAAAUGCUCAACGAUCCGGAGUUGGGGUGUCGCAGCCGCGUGGUGUCGGCCUUCAGCGGCGACGGGGGCAGCUACACGGCUGGCCCCAACACCGAUAUGAUGCCGGACAAGCAGCUGUACGACUUUGAUUAUAUCAUCAUGUCGAUUUAAAUUAUUAUCCAUGUAACCGUAGGUUUUAAGUAGGUGUCGUCAUGUGUUUUGAUGUUGUCUUGUGAUCCAUGUCAUUUUCUGCUCUCACUUAGUAUUAAGUCAUAUCGUUCCAUUGUAUUAGGAUUAAGUAAGUACGUACACUGUUGCGCUUAGGAUUAAGGAUUGUGGUGUCGAGGUUCGGUGUUCUUCAUGUAUUUCACAUCGUGUCAUGUAAGGUUUCUGUGUUUUUAAGAUAUCUCGAUGUAAUGUCUAGGUUUAAUAUUGUCGUGUAUUUGUACUAAGGUAUUCAUGUCGUUUCGUGUUGUGUAUCGUCGUCGUCUUUGUGAACAUUUUUCAACUCGUUUAUUAUCCUUACUUUAAGCGUGUGCUGAGGUGAUUUUAAUGACUUUAUUAAGUGUAAUUUUUCGUCGUCUCUAGGCAGUGAUUGUUGUAGCCUUGUCAAAUCAGUAUUACUAUUAAUAAUUUGUAUUAAGAUUGAUCAUGGUGGAGUUUAAGGACUAAAA